UUUUUUUUUUUUGAGACAGAGUCUCGCUCUGUCACCCAGGCUGGAGUGCAGUGGUGUGAUCUUGGCUCACUGCCAGCUCUGCCUCUCGGGUUCACGCCAUUCUCCUGCCUCAGCCUCCGAGUAGCUGGGACUACAGGCGCCCGCCACCACGCCCGGCUAGUUUUUUGUAUUUUUAGUAGAGACGGGGUUUCACCAUGUUAGCCAGGAUGGUCUCGAUCUCCUGACCUCGUGAUCCACCCGCUUCGGCCUCCCAAAGUGUUGGGAUUACAGGCUCGAGCCACCGCGCCCGGCCGGAGAACUGAGGACCUUGAAGCAGCAGACAGAGCGGCAGCUCAAGGCAGUCUCCCUCCAGAUCUGAGUGCAUGGAGGAGCACAGGGUCCGAAGCUACCCUGAGCUGGGGUGGAAUCUCGCUCCGCCCCUUCUGAGCAAUGUGGCCUUGGUGGGGCCGAUGGAGUUGCCUGUUCUGUAGGUGACUGCUCGCCCCCAGGCUUCCACAGGGUUAAAUGAGAUGGUGUUGGGAACAGGGCCCCCAAAAUCUGGCCAUAAACUGGCCAUAAAUAAAAUCUCUGCAGCACUGUGACAUGUUCAUGAUGGCUGUAACACCCACGCUGGAAGGUUGUGGGUUUACCGGAAUGAGGGCAAGGAACACCUGGCACACCCAGGGCAGAAAACUGCUUAAAGGCGUUCUUAAACCACAAACAAUAACAUGAGCGAUCUGUGCCUUAAGGACAUGCUCCUGCUGCAGAUAACUAGCCAAACCCAUCCCUUUAUUUCGGCCCAUCCCUUUAUUUCCCAUAAAGAAUACUUUUAGUUCAUCUAUGGAAACAAUGCUUACCACUGGCUUGCUGUUAAUAAAAUACCUGGGUAAAUCUCUGUUCAAGGUUUUCAGCUCUGAAGGCUGUGAGACCCGAUUUCCCAUUCCACGCUCUAUAUUUCUGUGUGUGUGUCUUUAAUUUUCUAGCGCCGCUGGGUGAGGGUCUCCCCGACCCAGCUGGUCUCGGCAAGAUGCUGUGUGGCUCCCACUGGGGAGGCCCCCAGUUACUGGCACUGUCAUCAUAAUGCCCACUGAACAAAGUGGGCCAAGCCCAGAGGCAGCCAAAACCACAUCUUUCUGCAUAGAGGGGAAACUGAGUCCGCGAGCUCAGGGCAAGGGCACCAGGCUCAUAUGCUGGCCUUCAUCUGUCCUCAGCUCCUCCCUGCGGGCACAAGCGGGGGCAGGUGAAGAAUCUUCCACCUGAGAAGUGUAAGAGGAGGGACAUGGGGGCGGGGAGCAGCGGACCUGCUCUGUGUAUAAACAACCGGACAGCAGGAAGGAUGCCAGGGCCCACGGACACCAGCUGCCUCCGAAGUCCCGCCGCCCGGGCCUCCACGGAGCAGCCUCCGAAGCGCAGCGUGGCCGUGUCCUCCGUAAAGAGGGUGGAGCCGCCCCGGGCCCCUCGCUCUCCAGCCGUGAAGCCCCGCCGGGGCCUGCAGGUGGCAACCCGCAAGCCGCCCGCACACGCGGGUUCUCUGUUCCUUUUUUCUCCUCGACCACUGCGGUUAAAAAAAAAAGCUAAAAGCCACCUGUUUUGUUUUUAAACGUGCUGUGGCUUGGAUUUCGGCCAGGCCUUUUGUGGUGACAGGAAACCCAGGACGGGCGCCCCGGCCGGGCCUGGCGGACUCC
ensembl:lncRNA